UGUGCAGCCUGCAGGCCUCGUAGACGAUGGUGGCCAAUGUCAGACACGUGUCGGCCAUUGAGGGGUUCCUCUGAGCAUGUUCAGUCAGCACAUCGCCCAGCUCCUCAGACAAACAAAGACGACCAGCCUCAGAUCUCCCUGCUGCAGAGCACAGAUGACGCCCUGCAGAGAUAAAUCAGCUAACAGCUCACCGCCGGUCUGGACGCUGAUCAGCAGAGCUCUGAAGAACAGGAGAGAUGGAGGGACGGAGCCUGGAGGGCCCGACACACCUGACACAGGAGGAGACAGGUUCCUCAAGACUCCUGGAGGGUUUCUGGCAGCAAGUACAGCAGCUUCCUCAAACUGAGCCGAGUCAAAAAGCUCCAUGAACCUGCCAGGGAGGAGAAUUUAGUCUGACAGUCUCUAGCUGUGUGUUUGAAAAUGGACUUUAUACAACUUCUGUGCCUGGAUGGCUUGUGGAGAGGGGAUUGAUUACACAUGGCUGAAGACUGAGCUCCAGAUUACACCUGGGACUCAUGGAGCUGCAGACCUCUUUCCAGCCCUGGUCCUCCCCGCCUCCCGACACGUUGGAUUGGUCCACCACGAUGACUCCUCCUCCCAGAAGACUCCAGCAAUCACCACACACAAGUACACUAUAUUGCCAAAAGUAUUCACUCACCUGCCUUGACUUGAAUAUGAAUGUAAGUGACAUCCCAUUCCUAAUCCAUAGGGUUCAAUAUGAUGUCGGUCCACCCUUUGCAGCUAUAACAGCUUCAACUCUUCUGGGAAGGCUGUCCACAAGGUUUAGGAGUAUGUUUAUGGGAAUUUUUGACCAUUCUUCCAGAAGCGCAUUUGUGAGGUCACACACUGAUAUUGGACUAGAAGGCCUGGCUCUCAGUCUGCGCUCUAAUUCAUCCCAAUGGUUUCUAUCAGAGGUUGAGGUCAGGACUCUGUGCAGGCCAGUCAAGUUCAUCCACACCAGACUCUGUCAUCC